AGAGAUUUAGGUUAACCCAAACCAAGGGCCUUCAAAGCCCUAAAUAUGAGCAAAAAGACUCCUAAUCUCUG
rnacentral:tRNA from 1 species